UCUAAUUCUAACAUAUCUCAUUUUCUCUCUCUCAACUCUCUUUCUCUCAGCCGCACCCUUUCUCUUCUCAUCUCUCUGUCUCCCUCACAUCUUUCUAACCUAUCAGCUCUCUCUCUCUCUAAGUCUCCUUUUUCUCUUAUAGGUGGCUGGCGCGGGAAGCUCGGCAAAGAUGGCGAUGGGUCAUAAACAUUUCCCUAUCCCUAAUCUACGACUAGACCCUAUUUUGAAAAGUCAAAGUCAUCUCAAUUUAUCUUUGCCAUCUCUAAAUGUUUUCAAGAGGUAGAACUCAAGUUGGAGUCCUAGAGAGCAAGGUACGUUUAACUUAAUAAAGGUAUGGGAGCUAUCAAUGGCACAACAAAGAAUGAUGUUGGUGUCUAUCGAGGUGCCCGUGGUGGUUAUGAAGAUCGUUGCUCUGCUUCUUAUGGUUGGAGUUGUGUAUUUGUAUUAUGUGUUAUUUAUGUAAAUUUGUAUACAUCCGAGUGUUCUAUACUUGUGUUAUAUAUAUAUAUACACAUUGUAUAUUGUAAAAUUGCAUAGAUUUAAGUUUGAUUUUUCAUAGAUCCGAAGAUUGUAAAUUUAUCGAUACAUAUUGGUCGUGUUAAGUGUAUUUUUCUUUAUUUGUGACUUUAUUAAUUUUGAUAUUGGUUCUAUUUUAUUUGGUGCUCGA